AUUGAACGCUGGCGGCAGGCUUAACACAUGCAAGUCGAGCGAGCGGCGGACGGGUGAGUAAUGUCUGGGAAACUGACUGAUGGAGGGGGAUAACUACUGGAAACGAUAGCUAAUACCGCAUACCAUCGGAUGUGCCCAGAUGGGAUUCGAUAGGCGGUGGGGUAAUGGCUCACCUAGGCGAAGAUCCCUAGCUGGUCUGAGAGGAGGACCAGACACCUUGUAAAGUAGACACGGUCCAGACUCCUACGGGAGGCAGCAGUGGGGAAUAUGGCACAAUGGGAGAAAGCCUGAUGCAGCCAUGCCGCGGGUUUGAAGAAGGCCUUCGGGGUGUAAAGCACUUUCAGCGAGGAGGCGUUACUCGCAGAAGAAGCACCGGCUAACUCCGUGCCAGCAGCCGCGGUAAUUC
rnacentral:rRNA from 1 species